rnacentral:rRNA from 1 species
UACGUAGGUGACAAGCGUUGUCCGGAUUUACUGGGCGUAAAGCGCGCGCAGGCGGUCCUUUAAGUCUGAUGUGAAAGCCCACGGCUCAACCGUGGAGGGUCAUUGGAAACUGGGGGACUUGAGUACAGAAGAGAAGAGUGGAAUUCCACGUGUAGCGGUGAAAUGCGUAGAGAUGUGGAGGAACACCAGUGGCGAAGGCGACUCUUUGGUCUGUAACUGACGCUGAGGCGCGAAAGCGUGGGGAGCAAACAGG